UGCUGUGAACUCGAAGAGUAGGGCGGGACACGUGGUAUCCUGUCUGAAUAUGGGGGGACCAUCCUCCAAGGCUAAAUACUCCUGACUGACCGAUAGUGAACCAGUACCGUGAGGGAAAGGCGAAAAGAACCCCGGCGAGGGGAGUGAAAAAGAACCUGAAACCGUGUACGUACAAGCAGUGGGAGCCUCUUUAUGGGGUGACUGCGUACCUUUUGUAUAAUGGGUCAGCGACUUAUAUUCUGUAGCAAGGUUAACCGUAUAGGGGAGCCGAAGGGAAACCGAGUCUUAACUGGGCGUUAAGUUGCAGGGUAUAGACCCGAAACCCGGUGAUCUAGCCAUGGGCAGGUUGAAGGUUGGGUAACACUAACUGGAGGACCGAACCGACUAAUGUUGAAAAAUUAGCGGAUGACCUGUGGCUGGGGGUGAAAGGCCAAUCAAACCGGGAGAUAGCUGGUUCUCCCCGAAAGCUAUUUAGGUAGCGCCUCGUGAACUCAUCUUCGGGGGUAGAGCACUGUUUCGGCUAGGGGGCCAUCCCGGCUUACCAACCCGAUGCAAACUACGAAUACCGAAGAAUGUUAUCACGGGAGACACACGGCGGGUGCUAACGUCCGUCGUGAAGAGGGAAACAACCCAGACCGCCAGCUAAGGUCCCAAAGUCAUGGUUAAGUGGGAAACGAUGUGGGAAGGCACAGACAGCCAGGAUGUUGGCUUAGAAGCAGCCAUCAUUUAAAGAAAGCGUAAUAGCUCACUGGUCGAGUCGGCCUGCGCGGAAGAUGUAACGGGGCUAAACCAUGCACCGAAGCUGCGGCAGCGAC
rnacentral:rRNA from 3 species